AUCCGCAGGGAAGGUCCAAUCUGUAAUGGAAACCCUCAGAGACUUGACGUUCAGGAUUGAUCGAUGAAGCUUGACAGUCAGUGGAUCACAGGAUUCGUGGACGGUGAAGGAUGCUUCCACGUCGGGAUAAACCCACAUCCCGACAUGAAGACCGGCUUUCAGGUUCUGCCUGAAUUCACCGUUGUACAGCACGAACGCGAUGUGCAGGUGUUGCACGCUAUGAAAAGCCACUUCGGGUGCGGCGUGGUUCGCAGCAACCACGGCGACCGGAUGGCCUAUCGGGUGCGCAGCAUCGAGCAUUUGCUCGGUCGCAUCGUUCCAUUCUUUGUCAAGCACCCGCUGAAGACCAGAAAGCGGAUCGCGUUCGAGAAGUUUCGGCGCGUUCUGCUGCUGAUGGAAGCGGGCGAGCAUCUGACCGACGAAGGCGUUGAUCGGAUACGCCAGAUCGCCGGCCAGAUGAAUAGAGGUCAAUCAAGGUAAAGUCCGGCCCGCUUGGAAACAGGUGGGAUCAUCCGAGCGAAAUUCCUUGUCGGGUAAGUUCCGACCUGCACGAAUGGCGCAACGAUUUGGGCACUGUCUCAACCAGGGACUCGGCGAAAUUGCAAUGUGAGUAAAGAUGCUCACUACCUGCGGCAGGACGGUAAGACCCCGGAACCUUUACUGUAGCUUGGCAUUGGAGUCUGGCGUGUAAUGUGCAGGAUAGGUGGGAGACUAGGAAGCGGAGGCGCAAGCCUCCGUGGAGUCAACCUUGGAAUACCACCCUUUGUACGACGGGCUUCUAACCCGGGUCCGUAAUCCGGAUCGGGGACAGUGUCUGGCGGUCAGUUUCACUGGGGCGGUGGCCUCCUAAAGCGUAACGGAGGCGCCCAAAGGUUCCCUCAGUCUGGUCGGCAAUCAGACGACGAGUGUAAAGGCACAAGGGAGCUUGACUGUGAGACCUACAAGUCAAACAGGGACGAAAGUCGGGCUUAGUGAUCCCAUGGUGGCACGUGGGUGCGCCAUGGCUCAUCGGCUAAAAGGUACUCCGGGGAUAACAGGCUAAUCACGCCCAAGAGUCCAUAUCGACGGCGUGGUUUGGCACCUCGAUGUCGGCUCGUCGCAUCCUGGGGCUGGAGCAGGUCCCAAGGGUCGGGCUGUUCGCCCGUUAAAGCGGCACGCGAGCUGGGUUUAGAACGUCGUGAGACAGUUCGGUCCCUAUCCGCCGCAGGCGCAGGAGACUUGAGGGGAGCUGUCCCUAGUACGAGAGGACCGGGAUGGACGUACCUCUGGUGUGCCAGUUGUUCUGCCAAGAGCACGGCUGGUUAGCUACGUACGGACGGGAUAAGCGCUGAAGGCAUCUAAGUGCGAAGCCCACCCCAAGAUGAGGUCUCCCACGGGUAUUACCCGGUAAGGCCCCUGGCAGAACACCAGGUUGAUAGGCCGGAAGUGUAAGCGCAGCAAUGUGUUCAGCUGACCGGUACUAAUAGGCCGAGGGCUUGGACAG
rnacentral:rRNA from 1 species